rfam:Edhazardia aedis TSNM 41457 supercont1.28, whole genome shotgun sequence.
GCUCUAGUGGCGUAAUGGUAGCGCAUCUGACUUCUAAUCAGAAGGCUCCGGGUUCGAGCCCCGGCUGGAGCG